CCUACGGGGGGCAGCAGUGGGGAAUAUUGGACAAUGGGCGCAAGCCUGAUCCAGCCAUGCCGCGUGUGUGAAGAAGGCCUUAUGGUUGUAAAGCACUUUAAGCGAGGAGGAGGCUACUGAAGUUAAUACCUUCAGAUAGUGGACGUUACUCGCAGAAUAAGCACCGGCUAACUCUGCGCCAGCAGCCGCGGUAAUACAGAGGGUGCAAGCGGUAAUCGGAUUUACGGGGCGUAAAGCGCGCGUAGGCGGCCAAUUAAUGCGAAUGGGAAAUCCCGGGCUUAACUUGGGAAGUGCAUUGGAUACUGGUGAGCUAGAGUGUGGGAGAGGAUGGUAGAAUUCCAGGUGUAGCGGUGAAAUGCGUAGAGAUCUGGAGGAAUACCGAUGGCGAAGGCAGCCAUCUGGCCUAACACUGACGCUGAGGUGCGAAAGCAUGGGGAGCAAACAGGAUUAGAUACCCUAGUAGUC
rnacentral:rRNA from 1 species